GCUCCUGUAGCUCAGCUGGAUAGAGCAAACGGCUACGAACCGUUAGGUCGGGCGUUCGAAUCGCUCCGGGAGCACCA
rnacentral:tRNA from 1 species